UCGUUUCGUUUGUCCUUUUUUAUUUCAACAGCCAACGUCCUUGUCUGUGUUUGUCACAUUUCCACGGCUUCAUAUUCCGAACUCAGUACUACUUUGGCCACGAACAGGAUUGCUAGUCCAUUAAUUGCAGCAUAGAGGAUAAAGGUGCCUGAAAACCACAGAAAUAGUGUCUUGAGAAUAGAGUUAAGAAAUGAGAACUUGGAUUUCUGCUGCUUCAUGAGAAAUAUCAGCAUCCUUGCCACGGAGCCUUCGCAGAGCAGCAUCAAACUCUUUCUGUAUACAAGAUAUUUUUCAUUGCUUUCUUACCAGCCAUCUAGGAGACUCUGGAAUGAAAAAGAGGCCCAGAAAUAGAAUAAAGCAUGGGAUCAAUCCUGUUUUCUCAACCUGGUUGACUGUUGUCAGGCCUCCUCGAAGAUCUUUGGGUGCCAUUUCAGCUAUGAAAACAGCUUCAGCAUCCUGGUCGACGGCCAUGUUUAAUACCGAGAGGCGAGACCAGAUAUUUGACUAAGAGAUGAGCUUUUAGCUUUGCGCUGCUAAAAGAA